CGGCGCCAUGAGCUGGGAAGGGCGGCUCAGCUCCCUGCUGGCCCAGACCGACUCCGGCGUGGCGCGGGCCAAGCAGCGUCUCAGCAUGGCCAAUAUUCCCUCUAAAGUGGAUUUUCAGCUUGACAGAAUAAGCACUGAGAAGGCUGCGUUUGAUGAUUGUCUGCUUGGAGGCCAGCAGC